rnacentral:rRNA from 1 species
CACGUAGGGCGCAAGCGUUGUCCGGAAUUAUUGGGCGUAAAGAGCUCGUAGGCGGUCUGUUGCGUCCGCUGUGAAAACUCGGGGCUUAACCCCGAGCCUGCAGUGGAUACGGGCAGACUAGAGUGCGGUAGGGGAGACUGGAGUUCCUGGUGUAGCGGUGAAAUGCGCAGAUAUCAGGAGGAACACCGGUGGCGAAGGCGGGUCUCUGGGCCGUAACUGACGCUGAGGAGCGAAAGCAUGGGUAGCAAACAGG